AUGAAACAAAAACCACCAUCGCCUCUUACUUGUCUAGCAACCGCAAACAGGCCCACGGCUUCCAAACGGGCAUCUGAGGUCCAACUCUUGCCCCUAAACUUGCAAAUACCAAAGCCUGACGAUGUCUACACCAAUCUCUCCCUGCAAAUACACGGGACCUUCCUCCCCUGCAAUGGCAGAAUACUGUGGGUCUGUAGGUGGAACCACCCUGGAAUUAACCUCGAUUCUCCCUCAGUAAUACUGAGUCUCCCAGUAAUCAGAUCUGUUAAGCAUUCAAGGAAUCAACAACUGAAGGAAACCAGAAAAAAAAAUUUUUGGACCACUCGGCUGGCUCUUCUCCAAAGCAGUUUCAAACCCAUCUCAGUCCCUAGCAACCAACCAACAAAGUAACAAACAAAUAAACGAAGCAGAACAAAGCA
rnacentral:lncRNA from 1 species